UACGAAGGGGGCUAGCGUUGCUCGGAAUCACUGGGCGUAAAGCGCACGUAGGCGGGUCGUUAAGUCGGGGGUGAAAUCCUGGAGCUCAACUCCAGAACUGCCUUCGAUACUGGCGAUCUUGAGUCUGGGAGAGGUGAGUGGAACUCCGAGUGUAGAGGUGAAAUUCGUAGAUAUUCGGAAGAACACCAGUGGCGAAGGCGGCUCACUGGCCCGGUACUGACGCUGAGGUGCGAAAGCGUGGGGAUCAAACAGG
rnacentral:rRNA from 1 species